UAUUGUAACAAAUUAAAUAAAGACUUUAAAAAUGGUCCACAUCAAAAAAAACUUUAAAAAGUAUAGGGCUUCCCUGGUGGUGCAGUGGUUGAGAGUCCGCCUGCCAAUGCAGGGGACACGGGUUCAUGCCCCGGUCCGGGAAGAUCCUACAUGCCGCGGAGUGGCUAGACCCGUAAGCCAUGGCCGCUGAGCCUGCGCGUCCGGAGCCUGUGCUCCGCAAUGGGAGAGGCCACAACAGUGAGAGGCCGCAACAGUGAGAGGCCCGCGUACCGCAAAAAAAAAACAAAAAAAAAACUAAGUUUCUGAACUUUUUA